CCAAGUCCCUGGAAUCAUGUCCAAGUCCUUGAGGUCAGGUCCUAGUCCCUGGAAUCAUGUCAAAGUCCUUGAGGUCAGGUCCUAGUCCCUGAGAUCAUGUCCAAGUCCCUGAGGUAAUUUCAAAGUCCCUGGGGUCAGGUCCUAGUCCCUGAGAUCAUGUCCAAGUCCCUGAGGUCAUUUCAAAGUCCCUGAGGUCAUUUCAAAGUCUCUGAGGUCAGGUCCUAGUCCCUGAGAUCAUGUCCAAGUCCCUGGAAUCAUGUCCAAGUCCUUGAGGUCAGGUCCUAGUCCCUGGAAUCAUGUCAAAGUCCUUGAGGUCAGGUCCUAGUCCCUGAGCUCAGGUCCUAGUCCAUGAGCUCACGUCCAAGUCCCUGAGGUCAUUUCAAAGUCCCUGGGGUCAGGUCCUAGUCCCUGAGAUCAUGUCCAAGUCCCUGAGGUCAUUUCAAAGUCCCUGGGGUCAGGUCCUAGUCCCUGAGAUCAUGUCCAAGUCCCUGAGGUCAUUUCAAAGUCUCUGAGGUCAGGUCCUAGUCCCUGGAAUCAUGUCAAAGUCCUUGAGGUCAGGUCCUAGUCCCUGAGGUCAAAGAGGAACUCCAGUGCUUGCAGAGAUUACUUUCAAGUCAUUUAUGUAAAGUCCAUGAGGCAGCAGGUUGAAUUGAGGAGGACGAGUCAGAAGUUUCUGAUUUUGAACUGAACUGUCUUCAGAUCAGAACCCGACCAAAGACGGUGGAACUUGUUUUCAUCUGGACUCAGAGAAGGAUAGACGCUGAAGUCUCGGAUUGUACCUGAAGGUCUCGUAAAGACAGAUAGUCGCUGAUGUGAAACUUUGUCUUCAAUAAAACAUCAAAAUA